ACGUUAUUCGGAAUCACUGGGCUUAAAGCGCGUGUAGGCGGACCGCCACGUCGGCUGCUGAAAUCCCCCGGCUCAACCGGGGAAGGGGCACCGAUACGAGCGGUCUGGAGGGGGGUAGGGGGACCUGGAACUUCCGGUGGAGCGGUGAAAUGCGUUGAGAUCGGAAGGAACGCCCGUGGCGAAAGCGAGGUCCUGGACCCUUUCUGACGCUGAGACGCGAAAGCCA
rnacentral:rRNA from 1 species